CGAGCGAACAGACGAGGAGCUUGCUCCUCUGACGUUAGCGGCGGACGGGUGAGUAACACGUGGAUAACCUACCUAUAAGACUGGGAUAACUUCGGGAAACCGGAGCUAAUACCGGAUAAUAUAUUGAACCGCAUGGUUCAAUAGUGAAAGACGGUUUUGCUGUCACUUAUAGAUGGAUCCGCGCCGCAUUAGCUAGUUGGUAAGGUAACGGCUUACCAAGGCAACGAUGCGUAGCCGACCUGAGAGGGUGAUCGGCCACACUGGAACUGAGACACGGUCCAGACUCCUACGGGAGGCAGCAGUAGGGAAUCUUCCGCAAUGGGCGAAAGCCUGACGGAGCAACGCCGCGUGAGUGAUGAAGGUCUUCGGAUCGUAAAACUCUGUUAUUAGGGAAGAACAAAUGUGUAAGUAACUAUGCACGUCUUGACGGUACCUAAUCAGAAAGCCACGGCUAACUACGUGCCAGCAGCCGCGGUAAUACGUAGGUGGCAAGCGUUAUCCGGAAUUAUUGGGCGUAAAGCGCGCGUAGGCGGUUUUUUAAGUCUGAUGUGAAAGCCCACGGCUCAACCGUGGAGGGUCAUUGGAAACUGGAAAACUUGAGUGCAGAAGAGGAAAGUGGAAUUCCAUGUGUAGCGGUGAAAUGCGCAGAGAUAUGGAGGAACACCAGUGGCGAAGGCGACUUUCUGGUCUGUAACUGACGCUGAUGUGCGAAAGCGUGGGGAUCAAACAGGAUUAGAUACCCUGGUAGUCCACGCCGUAACGAUGAGUGCUAAGUGUUAGGGGGUUUCCGCCCCUUAGUGCUGCAGCUAACGCAUUAAGCACUCCGCCUGGGGAGUACGACCGCAAGGUUGAAACUCAAAGGAAUUGACGGGACCCGCACAAGCGGUGGAGCAUGUGGUUUAAUUCGAAGCAACGCGAAGAACCUUACCAAAUCUUGACAUCCUCUGACCCCUCUAGAGAUAGAGUUUUCCCCUUCGGGGGACAGAGUGACAGGUGGUGCAUGGUUGUCGUCAGCUCGUGUCGUGAGAUGUUGGGUUAAGUCCCGCAACGAGCGCAACCCUUAAGCUUAGUUGCCAUCAUUAAGUUGGGCACUCUAAGUUGACUG
rnacentral:rRNA from 1 species